AUUUAUAUAGUUUAUGUAAAAUAUAGCACUGAAGAUGCUGAGAUGGAGCGUAAUACACCCCCUAUAAAUA
rnacentral:tRNA from 1 species